GACGUAGGAGGCGAGCGUUGUCCGGAUUUACUGGGCGUAAAGAGCGCGCAGGCGGCUGGUCAAGUCCGAUGUGAAAGCUCCCGGCUUAACUGGGAAAUUGCAUCGGAAACUGAUCGGCUGGAAGGUGGGAGAGGGUAGCGGAAUUCCCGGUGUAGUGGUGAAAUGCGUAGAUAUCUGGAGGAACACCGGUGGCGAAGGCGGCAUCCUGGACCAACACUGACACUGAGGAGCGAAAGCCAGGGGAGCAAACGGG
rnacentral:rRNA from 1 species